rnacentral:rRNA from 1 species
UACGAAGGGGGCUAGCGUUGUUCGGAAUUACUGGGCGUAAAGCGUGCGCAGGCGGCUUCUCAAGUCAGGGGUGAAAGCCCAGAGCUCAACUCUGGAAUUGCCUUUGAGACUGAGUGGCUUGAGUACGAGAGAGGUGAGUGGAAUUCCCAGUGUAGAGGUGAAAUUCGUAGAUAUUGGGAAGAACACCGGUGGCGAAGGCGGCUCACUGGCUCGUAACUGACGCUCA